rnacentral:rRNA from 1 species
CAGCAGCCGCGGUAAUACGUAGGGUGCAAGCGUUAAUCGGAAUUACUGGGCGUAAAGCGUGCGCAGGCGGUUUUGUAAGUCUGUCGUGAAAUCCCCGGGCUCAACCUGGGAAUGGCGAUGGAGACUGCAAGGCUAGAAUCUGGCAGAGGGAGGUAGAAUUCCACGUGUAGCAGUGAAAUGCGUAGAUAUGUGGAGGAACACCGAUGGCGAAGGCAGCCCCCUGGGCUAAGAUUGACGCUCAUGCACGAAAGCGUGGGGAGCAAACAGGAUUAGAUACCCGCGUAGUCCCUGUCUCUUAUAC